rnacentral:rRNA from 1 species
AACGAACGCUGGCGGCAUGCCUAACACAUGCAAGUCGAGCGCCCGUAGCAAUACGGGAGCGGCGCACGGGUGAGUAACGCGUGGGAACCUGCCCAGAGGUCUGGGACAACCGCGGGAAACUGCGGCUGAUACCGGAUGAUUCCUGAGGGACAAAGAUUUUAUCGCCUUUUGGAGGGGCCCGCGUCGGAUUAGGUAGUUGGUGGGUAACGGCUCACCAAGCCUAUGAUCCGUAACUGGUCUGAGAGGAUGACCAGUCACACUGGGACUGAGACACGGCCCAGACUCCUACGGGAGGCAGCAGUGGGGAGUAUUGGACAAUGGGGGCAACCUGAUCCAGCAAUGCCGCGUGGGUGAUGG